rnacentral:rRNA from 1 species
AAUGAACGCUGGCGGCGUGCUUAACACAUGCAAGUCGUACGAGAAACCCCGGCUUGCCGGGGGAGUAAGGUGGCGCACGGGUGAGUAACGCGUGGGUAAUCUACCCUCGAAUUGGGGAUAACACACCGAAAGGUGUGCUAAUACCGAAUAAGACCACGACCUCCACGGGGGUUGCGGUCAAAGAUGGCCUCUGCUUGCAAGCUGUCGGUUGAGGAUGAGCCCGCGUACCAUUAGCUUGUUGGUGGGGUAAUGGCCUACCAAGGCAACGAUGGGUAGCUGGUCUGAGAGGAUGGCCAGCCGCACUGGAACUGGAACACGGUCCAGACUCCUACGGGAGGCAGCAGUGAGGAAUUUUGCGCAAUGGGGGAAACCCUGACGCAGCAACGCCGCGUGAGUGAAGAAGGCCUUCGGGUUGUAAAGCUCUGUCAAGUGGGAAGAACCUUUUUCGGCCGAAUACGCCGAGAAACUGACGGUACCGCUGAAGGAAGCACCGGCUAACUCCGUGCCAGCCGCCGCGGUAA